CGGUGAUUUCUAUUAAUUUUUUGGUACAUGACAACAUAAUAAGAACCAUACAGGAUUCCGAUAUACUUUGUGAAUCUAGUGGUACUGGGCAUCCAAUUUCUCUCCUCCCGAUAAAAGCAUGGCGGAGAACCCUAAUUGCACUGUAUAUGUCGGAAAUUUGGAUGAGAGAGUAUGUGAUCGUGUACUGUAUGACAUUCUAAUUCAAGCAGGGCGUGUUGUUGACUUGUACAUUCCUCGUGACAAGGAAACUGAUAAGCCUAAAGGUUUUGCCUUUGCAAAAUAUGAGACAGAAGAGAUUGCAGACUAUGCUGUGAAGCUUUUCUCUGGUUUAGUGACACUCUACAAUAGAACAUUAAAAUUUGCAAUAUCUGGGCAAGACAAGCCCUAUAAUAACUCGCCAAUUGCAACACUGCCGGCCUUAAAUAUUCCAUCUAGACCAAGGCCUGAUAAGGAAAUUUCACCAAAUUCCGCAAGGUUAUCAACUUCAUGUUUGUUUUCACAGCACCAAACUAGUUACGCACAAGCCUCCCAUCAUCACUACAAGCAUAGUCACAAGGAUAUGAAGCUAUGGAUGACAUAUAGCGCCUACAAGGCAAGCAAACAAAUUUGCCCUAUCCGUUUUCUAAAGAACUUGUAUUGUUUAGCUAGGGGAUGUAAUGAAGACGUCUUACUCUGAAUAUUGGCCUUGUGAGCAUUUUGACUGCAACAGAAUGAUAAUUGUAGGGUACACCAGGGUUUUGGUGUUGUUUCUAUACUGCAAGAGGUAGUAUUUGUUUGAAAAAUUAUGGAGGUACUAAUUCUUCGUGAGUUUAUAGUUGAUGUUGGUGAAAUUCGGUGACCAUGCAACGUUAACUACUAAAAACAAUGUCAAAACUAUAUAGUAAAAAUGGCUUCUGCAAACCGUCCAUUUAACUAAAUUCUUUUGUGGAAUUUCGGAUGUAAAAUUAUUCUUUUAUACACUUUGGUUGAGUAUGUGCCAGAAGAAUAAUUAACUACAUCAAGUAUCAGUGUACCUUUUAAUGUUUUUUUUUUAUAAAACAACAUUGUAGAAA